GUAGGGACCAAGCGUUGUUCGGAUUUACUGGGCGUAAAGGGCGCGUAGGCGGCCCUACAAGUCACUUGUGAAAUCUCCGGGCUUAACUCGGAACGGCCAAGUGAAACUGUAGAGCUAGAGUGUGGAAGGGGCAAUCGGAAUUCUUGGUGUAGCGGUGAAAUGCGUAGAUAUCAAGAGGAACACCUGAGGUGAAGACGGGUUGCUGGGCCAACACUGACGCUGAGGCGCGAAAGCCAGGGGAGCAAACGGGAUUAGAUACCCCGGUAGUCCUGGCCCUAAACGAUGAAUACUUGGUGUCUGGAGUUUCAACACUCCGGGUGCCGUCGCUUAACGUUUUAGUAUUCCGCCUGGGGAGUACGCUCGCAAGAGUG
rnacentral:rRNA from 1 species